CGAGCGAGCUUGCCUAGAUGAUUUUAGUGCUUGCACUAAAUGAAACUAGAUACAAGCGAGCGGCGGACGGGUGAGUAACACGUGGGUAACCUGCCCAAGAGACUGGGAUAACACCUGGAAACAGAUGCUAAUACCGGAUAACAACACUAGACGCAUGUCUAGAGUUUGAAAGAUGGUUCUGCUAUCACUCUUGGAUGGACCUGCGGUGCAUUAGCUAGUUGGUAAGGUAACGGCUUACCAAGGCAAUGAUGCAUAGCCGAGUUGAGAGACUGAUCGGCCACAUUGGGACUGAGACACGGCCCAAACUCCUACGGGAGGCAGCAGUAGGGAAUCUUCCACAAUGGACGAAAGUCUGAUGGAGCAACGCCGCGUGAGUGAAGAAGGGUUUCGGCUCGUAAAGCUCUGUUGGUAGUGAAGAAAGAUAGAGGUAGUAACUGGCCUUUAUUUGACGGUAAUUACUUAGAAAGUCACGGCUAACUACGUGCCAGCAGCCGCGGUAAUACGUAGGUGGCAAGCGUUGUCCGGAUUUAUUGGGCGUAAAGCGAGUGCAGGCGGUUCAAUAAGUCUGAUGUGAAAGCCUUCGGCUCAACCGGAGAAUUGCAUCAGAAACCGUUGAACUUGAGUGCAGAAGAGGAGAGUGGAACUCCAUGUGUAGCGGUGGAAUGCGUAGAUAUAUGGAAGAACACCAGUGGCGAAGGCGGCUCUCUGGUCUGCAACUGACGCUGAGGCUCGAAAGCAU
rnacentral:rRNA from 1 species